rnacentral:rRNA from 1 species
GACGGGGGGGGGCAAGUGUUCUUCGGAAUGACUGGGCGUAAAGGGCACGUAGGCGGUGAAUCGGGUUGAAAGUGAAAGUCGCCAAAAAGUGGCGGAAUGCUCUCGAAACCAAUUCACUUGAGUGAGACAGAGGAGAGUGGAAUUUCGUGUGUAGGGGUGGAAAUCCGUAGAUCUACGAAGGAACGCCAAAAGCGAAGGCAGCUCUCUGGGUCCCUACCGACGCUGGGGUGCGAAAGCAU